rnacentral:rRNA from 1 species
GACGAACGCUGGCGGCGUGCUUAACACAUGCAAGUCGAACGGAAAGGCCCUGCUUUUUUGGGGUGCUCGAGUGGCGAACGGGUGAGUAACACGUGAGUAACCUGCCCUUGACUUUGGGAUAACUUCAUGAAACUGGGGCUAAUACCGGAUAGGAGCUCCUGCUGCAUGGUGGGGGUUGGAAAGUUUCGGCGGUUGGGGAUGGACUCGCGGCUUAUCAGCUUGUUGGUGGGGUAGUGGCUUACCAAGGCUUUGACGGGUAGCCGGACUGAGAGGGUGAGCGGCCACAGUGGGACUGAGAUACGGACAAGACUCAUACGGGAGGCAGAAGUGGGAAAUAUUGAAAAAUGGGAGGAAGCCUGAUGCAGAAACGCCGCGGGCGGGAUGAUGGCCUUCGGGUUGUAGACCGAUUUCGCCUGUGACGAAGCGUAAGUGAAGGUAAUGGGUAAAGAAGCACCGGCUAACUACGUG